rnacentral:rRNA from 1 species
GAUGAACGCUGGCGGCGUGCUUAACACAUGCAAGUCGAACGGAAAGGCUCCUGCUUGCCGGGGUACUCGAGUGGCGAACGGGUGAGUAACACGUGGGUGAUCUGCCCUGCACUUCGGGAUAAGCCUGGGAAACCGGGUCUAAUACUGGAUAGGACCACAUUUUGGAUGGUGUGGUGGAAAGUUUUUCGGUGUGGGAUGAGCUCGCGGCCUAUCAGCUUGUUGGUGGGGUAAUGGCCUACCAAGGCGUCGACGGGUAGCCGGCCUGAGAGGGUGUACGGCCACAUUGGGACUGAGAUACGGCCCAGACUCCUACGGGAGGCAGCAGUGGGGAAUAUUGCACAAUGGGCGCAAGCCUGAUGCAGCGACGCCGCGUGGGGGAUGACGGCCUUCGGGUUGUAAACUCCUUUCGCUAGGGACGAAGCGCAAGUGACGGUACCUGGAGAAGAAGCACCGGCUAACUACGUG